ACAUCUGGGCAGCUGGUGGGAGCAUGAACGGCUCACAGGUGGGAGCUGCAGCCAAGGCUGCCUGGCUGAGCUGCUGCAACCAGUCCGGGCUGCCACUCGGACCCCCAGAGGGGCCACGCAUGGUGCAGGCAGUCGUGCUGGGCGUCCUGUCACUUUUGGUGCUCUGUGGGAUCCUGUUCCUGGGUGGUGGACUCCUCCUCCGCGCUCAGGGCCUGAUAGCCCUGCUGGCCCGAGAAAGGCAUUCAACCCCCGAGGCUGAGCCUGGUGCCUGUGGAGGGGAUGACGACUCCUAGGUGUCAGCUGCUCUUGAGAUUCAGCCUGUUCUGUGCCACGCCAUCCAGAGUUCAUUUCUGUGAGGCACAGCGGAAGGUCCAACCCACAAGCUCUUAUUUCCCGCACAGGUGCUGGACAUCUCCCCUCGCCUGCCGCCCACCCGCACCCUAUUUGUGCUUGUGGUGAUGGACUGAAGACACCGGACCGGUGACUCCUCAUCCUGGGACUCUGUUAUUCGGCUGUCUCCGAGCUGCUCCCGACACUCCUGGGGUGGGCGCAGGAGACUCCCGCUCAGAACAAGAACAAGUGAGUCUGCUUGGUGACUGCCCUGUGCCAUGGGCACUGGCUUUACACCCCAACGGCGUGCACACGAGUGUGCCCUCUGCACACCAAGCUCUGUGGACACGAGUGCAGCUCCUGUCUUGCCUGAUGCGGUAUCUGACAACCCAGUGCCCUAUCGCUGUCGAGAACCUGGAACUGUUUCCCAUCUGGAGAGUGUGUCAGCCAUCCAGCAACAGUUCCAGCAUCGCUUCCCACGGCUUUGCCAUUAAAUAGGCCAGGAACGCAGUUCUGAGUGUGUGGUCUGUUUCCAGCCCUUGACCCUUGGGAUUCUUGGUUUCCUUCCUCAUCUCCCCUCAAUUUGGCCUGCUUCUAGUAGAUUUUUUUUUUUUAAGAAAGGGUUUACAAGGAGCUGGAGAGGUGGCUGGGUAGUUACGAACACUGACUGUUCUUCCAGAGGUUCUGAGUUUGAUUCCUAGUAGCCACAUGGUGGCUCACAACCAUCUGUAAUGGGAGCCAAUGCCCUCUUCUGGUGCGUCUGAAGACAGCUAUGGUAUACUCAUAUACAUUAAAUAAAUAAUAUUAAAAAAAAAGAAAGGGUUUACAAUAGCCCAAGCUGACCUGAAACUAGUUGUGUUCUCUAAGAUGGACCUGAGAUCACGGCAAUCCUCCUGCUUCAGCCUCUCAGGGAUUAUAGUCAGGCCCGCCAAAGCUAGUUUAGAAUGGAGGGUAGAUGUGAUGCCCACUGGGAGUGAUUCCCACUGGUCAAUGUGACCAAGAGCUUGGCUUUAUUCAACCACAGCUUUGUAUGUGUAUGUGUAUGUGUAUGUGUAUGUGUAUGUGUAUGUGUAUGUGUAUGUGUAUGUGUAUGUGUAUGUGUAUGCGUGUGUGCACAUGUGUGUGAGUCUGUGUGGUGUGCACACAUGUGUGUGAAUGUGUGUGUGUAUAUGUGUGUGCAUGUGUGUGAAUGUGUGAGUGUGUGUAUGUGUGUGCGUGUGCACACGCAUGCACGUGUGUGUGCAUGUGUGUGUGAGUGUGUAUGUGUGAGUGAGUGUGUGUAUAUGUAUGCGUGUGUGUGAAUGUAUGUGUGUAUGUGUGAGUGAGUGUGUGUAUAUGUAUGCGUGUGUGUGAAUGUAUGUAUGUGUGUAUGUAUGUGUGUGCAUGUGUAUGCAUGUGUAUGUGUGUGUGUGUGUAGUUACUUCUCUGAGAGUGGGUUUUGUAAACCUUGCCCUCAUCUUUGAAAUAGAAGUGACACCAUCAGUGUGAGUGUGGACCCAGUGGGUAAUGUGUUUGCCCAUCACUAUAUAAGGUUUUGUAUACUAUAAUUACUAAGGGACACUGUUUCCCCAAGCCUGGCUCUGUUAAUUAUUGUUCUAUUGCGAUAAAGCAUCAUGACCAAGGCAACUU
ensembl:lincRNA 6030408B16Rik RIKEN cDNA 6030408B16 gene